rnacentral:rRNA from 1 species
UCUACGGGAGGCAGCAGUGGGGAAUAUUGGACAAUGGGGGCAACCCUGAUCCAGCCAUGCCGCGUGUGUGAAGAAGGCCUUUUGGUUGUAAAGCACUUUAAGCAGUGAAGAAGACCAUACGGUUAAUACCCGU